UUCCUCUUCCCUUUUUCUGUUUAACCCUCUGAUUUUCCCAUCUGUGUCAAAGCAAAAGGUGUGUGAAUCCUAUAAUCACAGAAGAGAGAAGAGCUCUACUCCCUCUGGGAAGGGGGUUUUUGAGAUGUUGAAAUGUGUCAGCCCGGUGAAUUUUGGAUUUCUUAAUUGCUGUUAUCAUGACGAGGAGGGCCUUUGAGAUGAGAUUCAGCUAAGUCUGAAGACUUAUCUGCCAUCGGAAGAUCUCUCUCAGCACUCUGUACUCCUUCAUCUUCAUACCUCAGACUCCAUCUUCAGCAGGACUUCUCUCAUUUGGUAUCAGUUCUGUAGGGCUUUGCCUACCUACAGUCCUGCUACAGCCAAAUUUCAGCUUGAGUAAAAAAGAAAACAGGUACACCAAGAAUACCACACUUCAAACAGAUGGCUGCAAAGUCAACAGGUCCCCUCAGCAUCCCAGCCCAUGGAGUAGGGGCAGGAACACGCUCUGCUCCUCUUGGGAAGACCUCUGCAGCAGGACUGCCUGUGCUGGGCAUCCCCAUGGCAGGUUGCUGCAGGUGGAUUCAAUCCUGCCAGGCUGCUGCUGGAUGAGAUUGCAUCUCUGUGUGGCCCUGUCAUGUGGAAGUUCUGCCAUGUGCUUGAGGAUCUCCGCCACGUGCUCCAUGAUUGCGCUGAGGGAAGCGAGUUUGUAGAAUUUGCUAGAACUGGCUAUUAAACGUGCAGAUGAUUUAAAACAAACAAACAACAAAAAAACUCUGCAUUUACAAGCUCAAUUCCCUGGUGUUGCCCAGGCUUGGCUGCUCCUGCUGACCAGCCUGCUGAGGUUUGGACAGAGUUCCAUGCUAGGUCCUACCCUGUAAAGGUGAGUUACUACUCUGGCAGCAUGUUCUUGAAUAGCACCUUCCAGGUCAGCACAUGUCAAGGAAACAACUAAAGAGCCCCUCUCCCAUCCACUGUAUCUAGCCCUAGGUUUGGCAUGCAUAUUAUCACAUCAGUGCGGUUGAAAGUGACUGGAGAUCAGAGAUCCGCAGAGUCUUGGAAAUUUACCUCCUGCUACAAUGACUGCGUAUCUGUGUCCUUAGAAUAUUAUAAAUUAUAUUCUGGUAAAUAUAAGGGGGCAUAAAGACAUGUGAAAAGUCCACAAGGAAUAUCUUCCAGACCGCAGUGCCCUGGCACCCAUGGAGCUGUGUGAAGAGAGUGGUGAACUGGCACAGUUACAAAAGUGGGUCAACUAACCUAUUAGGUAUUCCAGGUCAGGUACUAAGAAGCAAUAAGCUCUCAACAUUGCUUACACUACAGAUGGGUAAACUUCACGUACUGGCGUUUAUCCCCAACUACCCUGCUAAAGGAAUGUGCUCCAAAAUGGCUUGUGCUGUAGUGGACACAGUCAAGUGCUUUUGGUGGAGGAAAAUAAGUCAGUAACCCCCAAAAGGUCCAGUAUUAAUGGAGCUAAUGCUUCCCCUCCCAUACCUAAUGCAGUAACUAUUCUCUAGGGUAAAGUUUAAUAAAGAAUCAGCCAAGCCCUUGUGUAGCUUGUGGUUUGGCUUCCUGCCCCCUCUGCUCAUCAAGCAGGAAGUUCUCAAAAGAGAGCGCUUUGUGAAGCUACCUUAAGACUGCCUCUUUUUUUCAGUCAAAACUUAGCAUCAGGCCAUCUGGAACUCCUGGAAGCUGACCAGUCAGACUGAUGGUGCCUACAGGAGAUAUUUAAACAACUUCUCUACCUUGAUCAUUUUCCCUCAUCUUUUGUCCUGUACAUCCUUGACUGUUGUUAUUCAGUACUGAGAUACUAUGCUCCUGAUAUCACUGAGAUGGGAGAGACAAGCAAGGAAAAAGAGAUUAAAGAGAGAAGAAGGAAGAGAAGAUGCCAAAGGCAAAAUAAGAGGGAAGAAGCAAAAUAUUUCUGAGAUUUAUUUACUUUACCUACUCGGGAUGCAACGUUUCAGAAAUUCUGAAUAUACUUAAUUUUUCUGGUGUUAUCACAGCCACCAGACAACAGGGAGCCAUGGGCACCCUCUUUCCACUAGCUUUCAAGAUACAUCCAGGAAGCCCAAGGAGGUUCUUGGCACCUGUAAGCAGGAGUAGGCUUGAAGAGAAACUGCUCAGAGCAGGCUGGAAAAACAGUAUAGUUACAAAGUAUUUUUCUGCUUCCCUCUGCUGGCCAGACAACACACAUAGCAAUGUAACUACAACCAAUCAGGGAAGGAUCAGGGUGAAGAAUAUCAAAAGAUAGGAGGAGUCAUAUUGUUAUAUUACUACACAAGCUUUAACUCUGCUGAUUUAUUUGAAUUUGCUGUUGCAUUU
ensembl:lncRNA